UGGGGAAUAUUGCACAAUGGGCGAAAGCCUGAUGCAGCAACGCCGCGUGAGUGAUGACGGUCUUCGGAUUGUAAAGCUCUGUCUUUAGGGACGAUAAUGACGGUACCUGAGGAGGAAGCCACGGCUAACUACGUGCCAGCAGCCGCGGUAAUACGUAGGUGGCAAGCGUUGUCCGGAUUUACUGGGCGUAAAGGGAGCGUAGGCGGAUAUUUAAGUGGGAUGUGAAAUCCUCGGGCUCAACCCGAGUGCUGCAUUCCAAACUGGAUAUCUAGAGUGCAGGAGAGGAAAGGAGAAUUCCUAGUGUAGCGGUGAAAUGCGUAGAGAUUAGGAAGAAUACCAGUGGCGAAGGCGCCUUUCUGGACUGUAACUGACGCUGAGGCUCGAAAGCGUGGGGAGCAAACAGGAUUAGAUACCCUGGUAGU
rnacentral:rRNA from 1 species